GUGCUCGCUUCAGCAGCACAUAUACUAAAAAUUGGAACGAUACAGAGAAGAUUAACAUGGCCCCUGUGCAAGGAUGACACGCAAUUCGUGAAGCAUUCCAUAUUUUU
rnacentral:snRNA from 1 species